GGCCGACUUAGCUCAGCUGGUAGAGCAGCUGUCUUGUAAACAGCAGGUCAGGGGUUCGAGCCCCCUAGUCGGCUCCC
rnacentral:tRNA from 1 species